rnacentral:rRNA from 1 species
CAACUUUCAACAACGGAUCUCUUGGCUCUCGCAUCGAUGAAGAACGCAGCGAAAUGCGAUAAGUAAUGUGAAUUGCAGAAUUCAGUGAAUCAUCGAAUCUUUGAACGCACCUUGCGCCCCUUGGUAUUCCGAGGGGCAUGCCUAUUUGAGUGUC